rnacentral:rRNA from 1 species
GACGAACGCUGGCGGCGUGCCUAAUACAUGCAAGUUGAGCGCUGAAGGUUGGUACUUGUACCAACUGGAUGAGCAGCGAACGGGUGAGUAACGCGUGGGGAAUCUGCCUUUGAGCGGGGGACAACAUUUGGAAACGAAUGCUAAUACCGCAUAAAAACUUUAAACACAAGUUUUAAGUUUGAAAGAUGCAAUUGCAUCACUCAAAGAUGAUCCCGCGUUGUAUUAGCUAGUUGGUGAGGUAAAGGCUCACCAAGGCGAUGAUACAUAGCCGACCUGAGAGGGUGAUCGGCCACAUUGGGACUGAGACACGGCCCAAACUCCUACGGGAGGCAGCAGUAGGGAAUCUUCGGCAUUGGACGAAAGUCUGACCGAGCAACGCCGCGUGAGUGAAGAAGGUUUUCGGAUCGUAAAACUCUGUUGGUAGAGAAGAACGUUGGUGAGAGUGGAAAGCUCAUCAAGUGACGGUAACUACCCAGAAAGGGACGGCUAACUACGUG